GCGGGGGAGGGAGGGAGUCGGAAAGGGGGAUCUUCUUGUUCCCCAGGUCGCCCCUUGCCACGAGAGAAGCCCAUGCGGGUGCCUAUGGUGACCUGAGGAUCCAUAGCGAUCUAAGGAUGAGGUCUUGCUCACGGCGCAAUCCCGUGGGAGACUUCAGCUAUUUAGUUGUUUGGAUGUCAGUCAAUUACACUUAGGAAGCUCUGGCUAAAUAUAUUUAUGAAGAUUUUCACAUCAUUAAGGCAUGGAAUUCAAUCAGCAAGCAUGAGCAGAGUAGGAGCUGCACUUAGUUGGGAUUUUGCCGUCGUUGGUAUUCUCUCACCUCCUGGCACAGAGAAGGCCAUUCAAUGCAGCCUAACGUUCAGACUGCCUACACGCUGACCUGUCUGCAUCUCAAAAAUGUCGUUUUCCUCGACCCAGAAUUGUUCAUCUUUUUCUUCAGCAUGCUGCUUUCAAUCUAGAUUGAUUCUGGAUCCUGCUGGCCCCUCCGGCUUUCUUAAACAGGCAAAGAAGAGUGAAAAGCAGCAGCCCAUGAAAAGCCAAUCCCUAGGUCUACAAGCAUUGGAGGCAGUGAGAGAUUUUACUUUCGUGGGCUCCAUGAUCACUGCAGAUGGUGACAGCAGUCACGAAAU